CUCUGUGGCACUGACUCCUCUUUCCAUAGGGACAUCAUACAACAGUCGCCUUUAUCUGAGGUUGUGCAAAGAGGGAUGGAGGAGAAAACAAUGGAGAAUCCCUGGCAGAUUUCCCCAGGACGAGAGAAGGAUAUCCAAUUGCUCAUCAGGGAAGGUGCUAGGUCUCCCAGCCAGACGCCCUCAGAGGCCGGUGUCAAGUCUCCCUCACCUCUGUGAUGUGAAGUCAGCUCGUUCAUGACCUGGGCAGGCAGAGGGUCAGAGGGGCAGAUGGAGCACUCCUGGCCAGAUGAAGGGCUGUACAUGAGGUUUCCAGCUGCAAAUAAGCAUUAUCUGGUCCUGGCAGAUGGUAGAUGCACCUGACAACAAUAACUUAACCAUACCCUGAGAAUGACCCUGGAUGGCAGAUGUACCUGACAGCAGUGGCGUGGUUUGAGAAAUGAGAGUUGCACAAAGAGGUUUCUGUGGGGAGGGUGCCAAAUGAAGGUACUAUAUAAGCUGCAUGCUUUUUUUUUUUUUUUUUUUGAGACAGAGUCUCGCUCUGUUACCCAGGCUGGACUGCAAUGAUGUGAUCUCGGCUCACUGCAACCUCUGCCUCCCGGGUUCAAGUGGUUCUCUCACCUCUGCCUCCUGAGUAGCUGGGACUGCAGGCACAUGCCACCAUGCCUGGCUAAUUUUUGUAUCUUUAGUAGAGAUGGGGUUUCACCAUAUUGGCCAGGCUGGUCUUGAACUCCUGACCUCAAGUGAUCCACCCGCCUCGGCCUUCCAAAGUGCUGGGAUUACAGGCGUGAGCCACCAUGCCUGGCCAAGCUGCAUGCUUUUUGCAAGCAAUUGUAGUUCUUCUGUCUAGCCCACAGUCACUGGACUGUCCCUGUAUGUAAGUUCCCCUAAAUAAAACCCUAUGUCUCUUUUGCUGGCUUUGGGUCUCUUCUUCAGCCUCUUAAACCUGGUGCCAUCACUAUUGGAGUGAACAGGGGUCUAGCACAACAGUGGGGACCCA
rnacentral:lncRNA from 1 species